rnacentral:rRNA from 1 species
UACGUAGGUGGCAAGCGUUGUCCGGAAUUACUGGGUGUAAAGGGAGCGCAGGCGGAACUGCAAGUUGGGUGUUUAAUCUACGGGCUCAACCCGUAUCAGCAUUCAAAACUGUGGUUCUUGAGUAAUGCAGAGGUAGGCGGAAUUCCCGGUGUAGCGGUGGAAUGCGUAGAUAUCGGGAGGAACACCAGUGGCGAAGGCGGCCUACUGGGCAUCAACUGACGCUGAGGCUCGAAAGCAUGGGUAGCAAACAGGAUUAGAUACCCUGGUAGUCCAUGCUGUAAACGAUGAUUACUAGGUGUGGGAAGAUUGACCCUUUCCGUGCCGCAGUUAACACAAUAAGUAAUCCACCUGGGGAGUACGACCGCAAGGUUGAAACUCAAAGGAAUUGACGGGGGCCCGCACAAGCAGUGGAGUAUGUGGUUUAAUUCGAAGCAACGCGAAGAACCUUACCAGGUCUUGACAUCCAACGACCGCCUAAGAGAUUAGGCUUUCCUUCGGGACGUUGAGACAGGUGGUGCAUGGUUGUCGUCAGCUCGUGUCGUGAGAUGUUGGGUUAAGUCCCGCAACGAGCGCAACCCUUAUUACUAGUUACUACGCAAGAGGACUCUAGUGAGACUGCCGUUGACAAAACGGGGGAAGGUGGGGAUGACGUCAAAUCAUCAUGCCCUUUAUGACCUGGGCUACACACGUACUACAAUGGCUAUUAACAGAGAGAAGCGAGACCGCAAGGUGGAGCAAACCUCAGAAAAAUAGUCUCAGUUCGGAUUGGGGGCUGCAACCCGCCCCCAUGAAGCCGGAAUUGCUAGUAAUCGCGGAUCAGCAUGCCGCGGUGAAUACGUUCCCGGGCCU